rnacentral:sRNA from 1 species
UUGCAUCUGGAGCCGUUGAGGAUGAGAACCUCCGGGGGCAGAGGUUCGACCCGAGCGUAGUGAGGGAACGUUGCCUGAGCAACGGCCCGCAGGGCGAGCCACGCAGUGGCGAGUCAUCCUCUAUCACCGACCA